CUUGAUCGAGCCCAGCCACAGCGGCCGGUCCGGAUCGCGGUCUCGGCCGUACCCGGCGAGGAGCGCCUGUGCCUC
rnacentral:antisense_RNA from 1 species